UACAGAGGGUGCGAGCGUUGUCCGGAAUCACUGGGCGUAAAGGGCGCGUAGGCGGCCUGCUAAGUAGAGGGUGAAAUCCUGCGGCUCAACCGCAGGGCUGCCUUCUAAACUGUCAGGCUGGAGCAGGGUAGAGGCAGAUGGAAUUCCCGGUGUAGCGGUGGAAUGCGUAGAGAUCGGGAAGAACACCAGUGGCGAAGGCGGUCUGCUGGGCCGUUGCUGACGCUGAGGCGCGACAGCGUGGGGAGCAAACAGG
rnacentral:rRNA from 1 species